UAGAUAUAUUUUAGGCCACCAAAAUUUUACGACCGAUCUUUUGUUUUUUUGUCAUCCGAAAAGAAAUUAGGGCUCAAACGAGCCACUAAUGAUUGUUGUUUACAUAUGUAAUAUGAAACGGUUGGGUACAGAAUUUUUGUGCCUAAAUAUUCACUUUAACGUUAUCACCACGAGAGAUUAAAGAUAGAGAAAACCUUGUGAACUUAUCCUUGUUUCUCUGUAACUACUCCAAAUACGCUGAGAAAGCCGGCCAUUCGGUUGGGAAAGACACCAUCUCCACCAGAUCUGAACAGUCUGUAAGAAAAACUACAUCUUUGUUGUCGGCACCAAUCAUACACUUCAUCGCUCAGAUGAGAGCUUCCACCUCUACAUGUAAUGAGGAUAGACGUCUUCUAAGAU
rnacentral:sRNA from 1 species